AAAUCUUUAAAAUUUUAUUUUUAUUUAUUAAUUGACAUAAUAAGUAAUGAAUAAAAAUGUGUAAAAUUUAUAUUUUUUGAAUUGUACAAAUAAUAUUGCUCAAACUAAAUUCUAAGACAUUGAGAGCACGUUUGGUUUGCGCUAUCUUUUUAAGAUUCCUAAUAAUUCAAUAAAAAUAAAAAAAUAUGACGGUGUUUGGCUAAACAUACUAAGUAAUCUAAUUGGUAAUAUUAGAUUUUCUUGAGAAUGAGAUUCAUUCCAAAGUACUAAUCACAUUCUCUUGAGAGAGGGUGGGUAUCCUUAUAUUAAUGAAUUGGGAUAAUCAUAAUAUGCCUAAUCUUUUUUUUUCUCCCUACCUGCCGGCUAGUUGGUUUUAUUUUUUUUUACACUCUAACCUCAUAUCUCUCUUUAAACUUAUUUUUUUCUCUCUAAAUUUCAAUUUUUUUUCUCUCUCUAAACUGAGCUCUCUUCCCCCCUCUUUUUCUAAAAUCUCAACUCUCUCACUCUCUCUAAUCUCGAUUCUAUUUUUCUUUCUAUUUCUUUAAUUAUGCUCUCUCUUUCUAACCUAUGUUCUCUCUCCCCCUUUUUUCUAAAAAGAUGUUGAAAUUUUUGGUGGCAUUAUUUAAAAUUAAUUAAAGAAAAUAAAUAAAUAAAUUGUAUAUUUUUUGUAAACUUAAAUAACAUAACUAAAUAAUAUAACCGUGCGAACCAAACACAGGAAUGCAACAUUCUUAGUAAUAGGAUGAAUAAGAAUAAGAUUCUCUGACAUCUUUUUAUUGCUUGUAAUUUUUCAUAGUACGAACC
rnacentral:lncRNA from 1 species